GGAGACAAUCAGGCAAAGGACACCCUGACCUGGGGUCAUCAUGGAGCCUGCUGGUACCACACCUACCUAGACAGCCAGUGAGGAAGAUACAGGAAGCAGUGCUUGCUGAGAUGUGUGAUAGAUCCCUGCACCGAAGCCCUCACCUCAGCGAAUCGGAGUUUGCCUUUCCCUGUCUGUGUUCCCGCAUGCCUGGCAGCCUCUGAACAGCAGAAGCUGUUCCAUGUCCUUUGCUCUGGCCCAUGCCUGGCUUGGCUAGCAGCUUUAGGUUCCCCCAAGGACUCCCCGCCGCAGGCAUCUUGUGGAGCCAUAAGAGAUGAGACUAUAAGAUCCAGAGCCUAAAGAAGAGGAUAGCCAAGCCCAGGCUCCUACACCCACACAUGCAGAGAGAUCUCCAACUGAGGACAGCUACUCUGAGCUCAGAGUCUGGAAUUCCGUCCUUCGUUUAUUUGUUAACUGGGGCCUACCAAUCUGCUUCCUCCAAAACAUGCUCCUCAACAUUCUGGACCUGUCUUCAUACCUGGGACCUGGGCAUGGAGUUCGCAGUGCACAGUGGAUGCACACCUCAUGUGAAGUGGGAUAAACAAGCAUCUGGCCUCGGGGCCUCAGUGAAAGACUCUCCACCUUUCAAGAGGUCACUGUGACCACAGUUUUUACUGAUGGGGAAACAGACGUGAAAGGAUGGCAAGACUUUACCCAAAACACCACGAUAGUGACUGAGUCACCGCUCAAAAAUGACUGCAGGUUCCUCAGGCAAACUUGCCUCUCUCACUCAACAGUACAGGAGAUCCAGGAUGUUCUGGACCUUGGGAACCCAAGAUCCUAGGAGCUGCCUGAGAACCAAGUUCAACUGAUGAAGGACUUGACUGACAUCCAGAGAGAUGAGACACUGUCUUCGAGGUCCAGGCAGGCAGCUCUCUGAAGACAGAGAACCCUUUGGGACCCUUCUGCAGAGACUGAUCCCAGAGCUGAGAGGCUAUACUUAGGUCCAACUCAAGCCAGAAAAAUUCAACAAUUCUCCAGGGGUCUCCCAGAACCUUCUCAAGGCACCCACUGUCACUCACACAGGUGACAUGAAGAAGAAUUCUGACAAGCUGGAACAUCACAGCUGUAAGUGUCGGGUUCUCGAAGUAGACAGACGGCUCAACAAGAGAGAGACAGACAGAGGAUUUAUUGGACGUAUUGGCUCACGUGGUUUCAGAGGCUGAUCCAUGGAGUGGCAUGCCUCUGCCAAACAGACACACCCUAAUGGCCAAGUGAUGUGGUCCAGUCCAAGUCUAAGGGCCUCAGAACCAGGGGGCCCUGGUGUGAUUCCCAGUCCAAGGCUGAGAGUUGGAGAGUUCAGGAGCCACUGGUGUGAGCCCCAAGGCCAGAGUAUGUACAGCUGUGGGGUCUUAGGGCAGAAGUGCCCCAAUCCUAGAAGAUGAGAAUUUACUCUCUGCUUUUUUUGUUUGUUCCAGGCCCCUAUCCCAUUGGACAGUGUCCCCCAUGCUGAGGGCGGAGCUUUCUCCCUCACCUGUGUUUCUUAAAUACUGUUAGGGUAACACCCAUCAUAAUGAUCCAGCCAUGACCUCAGAUUCAGGCUCAGCUGAAUCUGGCUGUACCCCUGGAGGUUGUGACGGGAUUCAUGCAGCAGCAACUCUAGGGCACAGCCUGACAGGUGUCACUGGGUGUCACUGAGUGACAGAGGUGCCUGUGGAGCUCUCCAUGGUCCUGAGCUGGCCCGAGCAGAUCAGUAUCUUAGUUUGGACCUGAUGUCUCCUUGAUUGUCCUUGUCUUAGCUCCUGCUAACUGGCCUAUGCUAUAGUUCAGAUUAUUCAUGAGCUAAGAGUUAUUCCCCUCUGUGACACCCAAUGGCCCUGCCUCCCUCCCUGACCCUUGAUGCCUCAAUCUCUGGUGUUCUCAGCUCUGGGCUAGCAAUGAUGUCUCCAGUUCUUCCAACUGGAAGAAGGGACCAGAUUGUACCAUGGUAGAGAAAUGGUCAGGCCAACAACUAUAGACAGUAUUGAGGUGUGCAUGAAGUGAAAUAAGAAGG